CAUGUACUCCCGCCAUCCAGAAAUACUUGCGGAAAAAUAGAUUUACCUAGAUGUAUUUUAGCUCUAGAUACAUCCAUUUUUAUCCAUUUCUGCUACAAGUAAUUCUGGACGGAGGGAGUAUGAU
rfam:Triticum aestivum genome assembly, contig: Triticum_aestivum_CS42_TGACv1_scaffold_471974_6AL